rnacentral:misc_RNA from 1 species
GAAGAAAAAGUUCCUAAUGUUAACUAAGAUUACCACGCCGGUCACGCUUUUCAAGCUGUUUCAAACGAUGAUAACACAAUCCACCAUGAAAGAGAGCCAAAGAUGGAAGCAAACGGAGCUGUAGCUGUAUGGGUAUCGAAGGCAUUAUCUCCCUCUGCUCUUCGAAAGAGCCACCUUUCUUUCCCUCCUUAAAACUCUGCGCUCACUCAAAACCAGCUCUUCGUCGACCUCUUGCUUGGAUCAUCAA